rnacentral:rRNA from 1 species
GACGGGGGCCCGCACAAGCGGAGGAACAUGUGGUUUAAUUCGAUGAUACGCGAGGAACCUUACCCGGGCUUGAAAUGUGCAUGACGACAGGCGGAGAUGCCUGUUUCCCUUCGUGGCAUGCAUGUAGGUGCUGCAUGGUUGUCGUCAGCUCGUGCCGUGAGGUGUCGGCUUAAGUGCCAUAACGAGCGCAACCCUUAUUUGCGUUUGCCAUCAGGUUAUGCUGGGCACUCCGCAGAUACUGCCAUCGCAAGAUGUGAGGAAGGUGGGGAUGACGUCAAAUCAGCACGGCCCUUACGUCCGGGGCUACACACGUGUUACAAUGGAGAGUAUACAAAGGGUCGCUCCCUGGCGACAGGUUGCCAAUCUCUAAAUCUCUCCUCAGUUCGGACUGGAGUCUGCAACCCGACUCCACGAAGCUGGAUUCGCUAGUAAUCGCGCAUCAGCCAUGGCGCGGUGAAUACGUUCCCGGGCCUUGUACACACCGCCCGUCAAGCCAUGAAAGCCUGGGGCGCCUGAAGACCGUGACCGCAAGGGUCGGCCUAGGGUGAAACCGUUGAUGG